CCAAAGCUGGCGACCGGCGCACGGGUGAGUAACACGUAUCCAACCUGCCUCAUACUCGGGGAUAGCCUUUCGAAAGAAAGAUUAAUAUCCGAUAGCAUAUAUUUCCCGCAUGGGCUUUAUAUUAAAGAAAUUCGGUAUGAGAUGGGGAUGCGUUCCAUUAGUUUGUUGGGGGGGUAACGGCCCACCAAGACUACGAUGGAUAGGGGUUCUGAGAGGAAGGUCCCCCACAUUGGAACUGAGACACGGUCCAA
rnacentral:rRNA from 1 species